GGAAUGCUACACGUCUGGAACAGUUGUAAUAGACGACGCCGUCCCAAUAGUUAUAUAAACAUCAUUGUCCAGCCAUUUUUGAUAACGAUCUGGCACUCCACAUCCAUACUUCUCGAUUGUAUAGCACCUAGAAGGUAUGAGAACGGAUUGUAGAAAACUCUGAUCUUUUCAUUGUCCAAGAAUUUGGAUAGCAUCACCCUUAUAUAUAAUUGACAAAUUAGAGCAAGUUAGUAUAGAAUUGCACAAGAAACAGAGGUUGGCAAGGCAGUUAAUAACUUAUAUUUUUGUUAACAACCAGGAACCAUGUCUCAUGAUUUCUUAUAUGUGGUGUCCAUAUACGCAAGAUACAAACCUAAAUAUGAUAAAAACAUUAUACUUUUGUUGUCACAUAAGCAAUGGUUGUUAACAAUAUAAAUUUCUUAUGAGGAGACACUUAAUCAUAUACCUGUAGUGGUGUUCCUGGAGACAUGUCUGGUGUUAUAAUAAAAAAGGAAGUAAAUUAUGAUUUUUGAAUGUACUAAUAAAUAUAAUGUUUUAUAGAAUAGUGAAGUGAAUAAAAUAAACAUAAAUGCGUUACAUUGUUCUAUAUAAUUGUAAAAGGUAAAUAUGUAUUUGACCACUCAGUUAUUAAGAUUAUGUAUAAAGUCUUAGAAAACAACGUUUUUUGUUUUGUUUUUCUGGUAUUGUCAUCAGAAUGUAUGAGUAUUUUAACUGACUUUGGAGAUGUAGCACGAGAUAAGGCAACAUAAAGAUGCCCAUGUGUGAAAACUGAUUUUGGAUAAAUGCCUAUUUUUUUAAAGAAUGGCCUUGGCUUUUAUUAAUAGUCAUAGCGUAACAAACUUUAACUGGAAAUUGUUUCCUAAUGAAGGUAGAAGGUAUGUCAGGAGCUUUAUGUAUGAAUCUAAUACGAGGCAGAAAUACAAUUUUGCCAAUAUAAGUCCCGGUUAUAAUUGUUGCCUCUAUGACGUUUGCCAGUAACUAUGAAACCAUCAACCGUGUUCCAUUGCAUAAACCUUCCUUUUGGUUUAUGUUCCGAAUCAACAUGAUGGGUGUGUUAAUUUUCACUGAUAGUGAAUGUGUGGGUAUGCUAGGGAAGGUCAAGAUAUUAAGAUAUUCCAAUGGAUAGAAAAUAUUAAAGUCUGUAGUUUGGUUGUCAUUAAAGUUGAUACUAUCAACACUUUCAUACAUCUUUGAAUGCCCAGGACUUUUCUGUAGAACUAUGUCAUUUUUUUUUGGAUAGUUUCAUUUUUGGGACAGACAAUUGCUCUACCAGAUAAUACAACAGCAGAAGGUUUUGUUAGAAUACCAUCUCCAUAUACAAAGUUUAUAAGGGUCUAACUCAUUUUCUGGUGGAGGUAUAAUGAAUGAAUGAGGAAUUUCAACCCAUCUAGUAUUUGUUUUAUCAAAUGCAUCAAUUUCACCAAUAACCCCAUCACCAAUUGUUAGUAACCAAGAUGCAAACUCUGAGACACUUAAGUCAGUGUGCAGUGAGUUGGAGAAGUUCUUAAGUCGCAUAUUAUCAUUUAGUUUAUACAACCUGAAAUAUGGCCAUAUGAUUUAGGUAAGGUGGGGGAGAUAAGUUUAAAGGUUGUACUUCUUGGAGACAUAGGUAAUGUUUGAUGAAAGUCUCUUCCUAAUAAUAGUGACAUACCACCAAAAACUUUCGUCUCACAUUCGAGAAUAUCUUUUAAGGAGCCGUCUAGACAUUCAAAGCAACGUCUGUCACUCAUUGGUGCUUCGUCCCAUAUAAUAAUGGAAGUUUGUUUUAGUAGCUCAGCAAGCAUUGUCUUUUUUUGUAAUGUUGCAUGCAACAUUAUCUGAAAAUUCAAUCGGAAUAUUGAAUCUAGAGUGAGCAGUUCUCCCUGAUGGAAGGAGCAGGGACGUUAUACGCCUAUACCCGAAGUAGCAAUGACAUGCUCUAUUUUCCCUAUGGAACGGAAAUGAGCAAGUAAAGUAGUCCACAGGAAAGUUUUGCCAGUUCCUCCAUGCUCAUAAAUGAACAUGAGCACCUGCUGCCCUUUCUCUUAUGCGGAUUGAACUGUCUUAUAGAUGUCAAGUUGUUCAUGGUUCAAGAUGACAACAUUUAUUCAUGAGUGAGAGUCAAAAUGUCCUUAUCAUAUGUUGUUUCUUCUAAAAGAAGAUGAUUUUUUUAACAUCACCAUUGUUUCCUCCAUGGGUUUAGGUAGGUGAAAGUCAACAACAAAUCUUGAAGGUGUAGAUGAUUUAAGUAUAUGAUCCAGCUCAAAUAAAACCAUAUGUUGUACAUGGAAAUCAUUUAUAUUUAAAUCAAGAGUAGGAUUGGACAUCUUAAUGGUAUACGUCAAAUCUUUACUCAUUUUCUUCCAUCCUAUAUACCAUAAACACAUAGGAUUGUUAACAUCACAUAAAAGAAGCAAAUAGCAGAAUAGAGAGCACAACUGAGACGACGUUGCCCGAAGCUUGAAUAAAAGCAUCCAUCAACUCUCUGUCAUCCCCUAUUAGACCUAGCGCGUCACAAGCACCACGGAAAUCAGGAUAUACAGUGUUGGAAACGGUACGCAAUUCUUCAUAAGACUUACAACCUUCUUGAUGAGAAAGUAACAUCCUUAAGUAAAAUAAUUCUCUAUCUAGCAGAUGGAUGCACAAAGAUAAGUCUGCCUAGUGCAUGGGAAGUGGAGCGUUUUCUUCUUUUCCAAGCUCUUACCUCUUUGUCCCACUAAUAUUUGGUAGGGGAGGAAGUAUACGUAAGAUCAUGACCAGAUGCAUCCCACUUAUUAUUGUCAAACCAACCUAGUAACAGACUACUACCAAAAGUGGGAUGUUCAACAACCUGCUUAAUACGAGUGUUCUCUUUGAUGAAGACAGACUGCAUAUUUGGCAAAUGUACAGGCAAUAUCACAACAGGUAGAUCUCGCUCAUGAAUAGGGUAAUAAAGUAUAUGCCACGCAGCCUCCUGAGGACAUAGGAAACGACCAUCAAUGUAAUUUUUUAUCUCAUCAACUAUGAUACCUUCCGCAGAAGUAGAAGCUUCAGAAAGUUGCACAUCUUUCUGAAUUACAAACCUAGCACGUUCCAUUCCCUUUAAUAAAUACUUAAUCAUCAUGUUCCACCCACAAUAUUCAACAAUGAUAUGUGCAUUGAAACGACAACACAACCUUUUGUUAUACGGGACUAUGUACCUGUUAUCUAUUUGCACACUAUUUUGUAACAUAUGUAACGCAACCAAAUCUCUUUUAUGAUGAGCUUAUCCAUCCUUGUCAAAAAAUGUAGUAGUGCGAAAGUGUUUUGGGAAUUUUUUUACACAUACCAUCCUUUAUACAUGGAGCCUUAGUAUUGGCCAAACCACAUGGUCCAUGUAUAAGACAUCUUGUAACAGUCUCAUCUAACAAUGUCUCACAAACAGGGUCUGACAAUUCAGCGGUAAUAUAAGCAUCAAUGAAAGACAGGUCCUUUAUCUUAUGAGGAUCUGCUAUCCAUAUCAGCAAAUGACAAUGUGGCAAACCCCCCUUUUUUGGAACUCAAUAGUAUAUAAAUCUGCAACAAACCCAAAACAAAAAAAAUAAAGAAACCAGAGAAACGUACGAUCAAAUAAAUCUAAAUAAAAUUAAUUAAAGUUUUUUAAUUUGCAGCGACAGCAACUUACAUGCUGAUACUAGGCUAAAAGUUUUAUCACAUUUCAAGUAUGCAAUAAAGGCAUCAACUUUCAUCCGAAAAAAAACAUGAAAUUAUAUCAACCCUGCUGCCCACAUCAGUCUGUCGACGAACAGCCAUGUAGCAGGUGAUUUCUGGCCAACCAACAUUACAUGUAAAGGUUAUAAAAUAUUGUGGAUUCCCAUACUCGCAACAAAUAGAAAGAGCAUCCUGAUAGUGGUUAUACAUAUAUCGUGGACCACCAACAAAAGAUGGAGGCAAAAGUACACGCUUACCAAUACAUCGAAUUUCAGUAUCACCCAGUGAUAUGGCAUCGUAAAUACCACUAACAUACGCUGAUCUUAGUUGAUUUUGAUUAUGUUCAAAGAAAUCAAGACGAGAAAGUUCGAUACAGGCAUACGCAUCAACUAAAUAUUGUUGGAACAACCUACACGAAUUCAAGAGAAGGGAGUAUACACCAUUUCUUGUGUGUAUGUGGUAACUGUAAUACAUGUUAAUAGUGAGAUUCCUAGUCUUCGAACCAAUUUCAUUUAUUAGCUUCAAACGCGAAGACCAACCGUCCUCGGCGCUGGAACCGACUCCUAUCAAACUCCGACGCAUAACAACCUUCCUUAAUUACCAUUUCAUAGUCAUAACCUUUUCAAGGGUCAACUCAGGUCAAAGUCAAGGUCAAGGUCAACACCUUGGUCAAAGUCAACUUUUGGUCAAAGUCAACAUCUAGUUGACUCAACUCGCUGAGUUGGUCCACCAACUCGUCGAGUUCCAUAAUCCACCAAAAUCUUGGAACUUCAAUCCUACUCGUCGAGUUCUCCUUCAUACAGAAUCAAGACCUUUUUGCUCUUGACUCGCCUAGCUCGUCCAUGAACUCGUCGUGUCUUUCUCCAUACAAGUUGAAGCGUUUAGUCCUUGACUCGCCGAGUUCUUCCUUGAACUCGUCGAGUUCUUCUUCAUAUAAGUUGGGGGCAUUGCCUUGAACUCGUCAAAUUCUUUUGAUCUUCAAGUCCAUAUCUACGUCCAUCUUGUUGAGUCCUCUUCUAGACUCAACCAAAUCGAUCAGAACAGAAAAGGUUGGGGGAACCAUAACCCGAAUCGCCAAGUCCUAAGAGCGACUCGCCGAGUCCCCCAAAGUCUAAGUCUACCAAGUCGAUUUCAGUCGGGCUUAAUGCAUCCAUAACAUAGAUCUGACCUCCUAGGGUCGAUAUUGCACAUAAAGUUACAAACUUUACGUGCAUGCAAGGUGUUAUGAGCUAAGAACAUCAUUUCCAUGUCUAAAAUGAAGUCUAGGCCAAAGGGAAGGGCUAAAGCAUGAUAAUUUCAUAAACUUUAUGGCUAAAGGGGCUGAAAGGGAUCUGGAUCUGAAGUUACAACUUCAGAUUACACUCCAUACUAAAAAAGGUUCACAAAAUUGCUAAAAGAUAGCCCUAAACUCAAAUAUAGAGAGAUCUAGCAACAGAGAAGUCAAGGAAGCAACUUUAUACCUUAAAGGGAUUGGAAAUGGAGCUCAAACCCUGGAUCUACUACUUCCCUGAACCUUCUAGCUCUUUCUUCUUCCUCCUCUAGCUUCAAGAUCACACAAAUACUCUCAAAAAUGACUCACACACUAGGAAAAGCUCAAGGGUCACGUUAGUGUUUUUUGGACUAAGGGAGACGACAGGGGUUGCAUGGGAGGCUGGUUAAUGUAUUUAAAUAGGGUGCAAACCCUAAAAUUUAGGGUUUCAUCCAGACAAGUCUACUCGUUGAGUCGGGGCUUCCGACUCGGCGAGUAGACUCUUCCACUCGCGUCUAAUCCUUCGCAUCUACUCGACGCUUUUGGCCUCCAACUCGUCGAGUCCCUGUAUAAAUGUGAAAAAGCUUUUAAUAAAAAUACGUACCGGGAAUCGGACGUUACACUACGUUAAAUUAAGAAGCAGUACACAACAUACCUAGAAAAGAAACAGAGACAGGGAUGGAGAAUAAAAACGCAGCAACGGAAGAGGAAGGAAGAGUAAAAAAGAAAGAAGGAAGAAAUAAAGAAAAGUGAAGAAAAUUGUAUUGGAAGAGGAGGCCGGCAAGGCGACAACGAAAACAGAUAAGAAGUAAAAGAAGAAUGAGAAGUAUUGGGGCGUUUGAAUGAGAAGAAGAACUUCAGUAACAAAAGAUGAAAGAGAAAAAAAUACACUGCAGCUAAGGUUUUUAGGAAUUUAUAGUAUAUACUAAUUAAAGCUUCACACUAUUUUUUUUUUUUCUUUUCUGUUACAACAUUUUUACUUUCAAUGUUUUUUUAUCAAGACCUUUUAUUUAAAAUACUUUACAUCUUUUACUUAUAUAGGUAUUUAACUAUCUAUUAUAGCAGUAUACCUUCGGUUUUUUUAUUUAAACACAUUUCCCUUUGAAAAAUCAUUUCAAUUAAAGCACAUUUUUAAAGGUUUUUUUCUAUCACUACAUUUUUAUUUUCAAAUAUUCUUUUAUUAAGACAUUUUAUUAAAAAAACUUCAAAAUUUUUACAUACCAUGCAUUUUACUUUGUAAUAGUUAUCAAUUAUAGCAUUGUAUUCUCAAUUUUCUUAUUAAAAGCACAUUUUCAUUUUAAAAAUCAUAGCAAUUAAAGCUUUGCACUAUUUUUUUGUGUUACAACAUUUUAGUUUCAAAUAGUCUUUUAACAAGACAUUUUAUUGAAAAAUCUUUACAUUCGUUUACUUAUUUAGGCAGUUUACCAUGAAAUUUACUAACUAAAGCAUAUUGCACUUUCUUAGAUUUUUUCUUUUAUUACAACAUUUUUACUUAUAUAGGUAUAUUACUUUAAAAUUUUAUCAAUUGUAGUAUUGUACUUUCAAUUUUCUUAUUAAAAGCAAUUUUUUCCUUUGAAAAAUAAUUCAUUUCACUAUUUUAGAUUUUUUUUCUUUCAAAUAUUGUUUUAUCAAGACACUUAUUAAAAAGUUGUAACAGUGUAGGUCUGAUUUAGUAGAUAACAAAAUGGAAUUGAAUUGCUUGGAAUGGAAUGAUUGAAUUAGAAAAGGAAUCCUCAAAUAUGGAUUAGAUAUGAAUAUAAAAAGGGAGUUAACGGGUUAAGGGGUGUUUAGGUCUUUUCCCUUGUUAUGUUAGUUAUUAGGUUAGUAUAAUUAAGAGGUAUUGGAAUUUAGUUAGUAUCGAUUGCUUGAUUGUUAGAAGUAAGUUCUUCUUUGGGUUAAGGGGUCUUUUAGGUCUUUUAUAUGCAUAUCUAAUCCAUAUCUCAGAAUUCCUUGUCUAAUUCAAUCAUUCCAUUCAAUUCCAAGCAAUUCAAUUCCAUUCUGUUAUCUACUAAAUCAGACCUAAACUAUUAUAAAAAUCUCUACAUUUUUUACUUGUUUAGGCAUUUUACUUUGAAAAUCUUAGCAAAUAUAACAUUGUACUUUAUGUAUUCUUAUUAAAGCAUUGCAUUUUAAGUUUUCUUUUUUAAAAGCACAUUAUCGUUUGAAAAUCAUCCCAACUAAAGCAUUGCAUUUUUUUCCCAUAUUGCAACGAUUUUACUUUCAAAUAAUCUUUUAUCAAGACAUUUUACAAUACAAUUUUACUUAUCUAGGCCUUUUACUUUUGAAAAUUUAUCAAUUAUGACAUUGUACUUCCACUUUUCUCAUUAAAAUCAUAUUUCUUUUUAAAAAAUCAUCCAACCAAAACAGUUUUUUUUUUUUUUUUUUUUUUUUUUUUUUACAANUUUUUUUUUUUUUCGUAUUACAACAUUUUGACUUUCAAAUACUCUUUUAUCAAGACAUUCUUUACAAAAACUUAUACAUUUUUUACUUAUUUAGGCAUUUUACUCUGAAAACUUUACCAAUUAUAGCAUUGUACUUUUAAUUUUUUUUAUUGAAUGCAAAUUUCUUUUGAAAAAUCAUCCCAAUUAAAGCAUUACAUUUUUCUAGUUUUUUUUUCCGUAUUACAACAUAUUUGCUUUCAAAUAAUAUUUUAUCAAGACAUUUUUUACAAAAAAAUUUACAUUUUUUACUUAUCUAGGCAUUUCCCUUAUAAAAAUACAUUAUACACAUAUAUUAAAUCCCCUCACACUUAGGGAGGAGGGAGUCCUUCCCUCUCAACCCACUGCCACAUCAGCUUUUUUUUAUUCUCUCGCUUCAAUCUUUGCCAACCCACAACACAUGGAAAUCCUAUCUUUUCCAACCCACUCAACCUACUUUCCACAUCAUUUAAUUAAAUUAAAAAAGAUAAAAUAAAAUAAAAUAUAGCAUUUUUUAUUUAAAAAUAAAUAUUUGCUAAUUUAAAACAAAAAAAUCUAAAAUAAUAUUAAAAAUAACAUUAAUUAAAAAAACACACUACAAAUAGAAAAAAAUACACGAAAAUUAAAAAAACACUUCAAAAAUACAAAAUAAUUAAGAUCCUAAAACGAUAAUUAAAAUUAACUAGUUAUCUAAAGUUGAAAUAUAGACAUGUUAAUCGAAGCUGGUGGUGGGUUUCAUCAUUGCGCAAUUCAUGUAUGAUUUCUAGGUCUUCGACUUCGUCAUUGGGGGGNNNNNNNNNUGAUGCACAGGAGAUAUCGCAGCACCCUCAUCUUUCAGUAUCAUAUUGUGCAGUAUAAUACAAACAUACAUUAUGUUUUUCGUUUUCUUCACCGUCAUAGCCCGUGCCGACAUCUUUAAUAUGUCCCAACAUCCUUUAAGGACCCCAAACGUACGUUCUACGUCCUUUCUUGCUGAUUCUUGUGCCGCCUUGAACCGUUUCUUUUUGUUCGUUAUUGCAUGUGGAUAUGACUUCACGAAUACAACCCAUGUUGGAUAUAUUCCAUCGGCAAGAUAGUAACCAUGCUUGUAGUGUUCACCAUUCAGAUCAAAUGAGCAAUCAGGUCCUGUUCCAUGAUAUUUCUCAUCAAACAAUGGUGAUUGGUAGAGGACGUUCAAAUCAUUGUUCGAACCAGCUACACCAUAGAAUGCAUGCCAAAACCAUAAAUCUUGUGAUGUCACUGCUUCUAGUAUCAUUGUUGGAUACUGAUGGUCACCCCUCAUGUAUUGGCCUCUCAGUUCUGUUAGACAAUUCCUCCAAUUCCAAUGUGUGCAGUCAAUGCUACCAAGCAUUCCAGGGAAUCCAUGUCUAGCUUCAUGUGCUUCAUACAAUUUUUGAAUGUCAGUGGAUGUUGGACGGCGUAAAUAUUCAGCCUUAUACAUUUGGACAAUACCAUAGCAAAAGUUUUCUAGAGCUUCACGAGAAGUUCUUUCUGACAUAUUUAGAUACUCAUCUAAUGAGUCUGGGUUAUAACCCUUCGCUAAUUGACGUAUUGUUGAGGUGCAUUUUUGUAGCCCACUGAAACUUCUCUGAUUUGUUGCAUCCCAUGUUGUUUGAAAAUAUGGAUAAUUCAUCUCUAGGUCACCAACAAGUUGCAUAAACAAACCUUUGCUCAUACGGAACCUUCUGCGGAAUAGAUCAUGACCAUAUGUUGAAUCAUCUGCAAAGUAAUGUCGGAUCAGUAGCUGUUCAGCCUCUAAACGAUCUCUUUGGAUUGUGUUUCUCCUUUGAUUGUUACUUGAGCUAACAUUAUUCUGGAGAAGAAGUUGUGCAGUACGAGAUAAUGCAGGUAACAAAUUAUUGUUGAUAAGUUCAUCCUCGGAAGAUGAACUAUCGUUGUUACUAUCCAUGAACUAUCGUUGUUACCAUCCAUUACUAUUUUGCGAACGUUUGGAUUCAUUUUGAAAGAGAGAGAAACGAUAGAGAGAAAAUGAAACAAACAUAUAUAAAGAGAUAAUGAAACAAACAUUCAUAUAUAUAUAUAUAUAUAUAUAUNAGAGAAAAUGAAACAAACAUAUAUAGAGAGAUAAUGAAACAAACAUUCAUAUAUAUAUAUAGUGAAACAAGAGAAUCUUAAUAAAAAGAAAAAAGAAAAAGUAAAAGAAAAAGAAAAAUAAUCAUAAAAAAGAAAAAGAUUCUCAGUCAAAUGAUGUCGACACUCUGAACUUCACGGGUUCUACAACUCCCAACCAUAUUUAGUUGCAAUUUGUCGUUUCCUUUCAAGAACCGUGCUCAAAAUAGCUCCAGUCAAAUGAUCAUGCGGUCGUAGAAAAUACUCCAUAUCUUGGUUCUCUAUCUCUCGCUCCAACAAUUGAGCUUUCAGUGCUUCAUUAGCUUCUAAAAUACGUAAUUUUUGUUCCCGGUACCGUUGUCUCUGUUUCGCCUCUAUGUUGGUUGUAGUGUUGAUGCUGGCAAUAUGGUUGACAAGAUCAAACAUUUCAUUUUGUGUUGACGAUACUGAUGCCACUUUUUUUCCUUUUCUUUUUCUCUGAGGUGGUGAGUCUUCAACAUUAAAAGGUUGUUGUUGUUGGGGGAAUCUGGGAGGAUACUGUGCAUCGGAAGAUGUUGUAUGGGCGUUAGAUGAAGAUGUUUUAGUUCGUUUUUAAAAAGGAGGCGAGGAGUCUUCACCAGCUUUUGUAACCAACGCCCAUUUCUCGUGGUCUUUCAACCACUCCCAAGCUUUUUGAUGAGGAAAGGAUUUUUGAUUAACAGUACUCCGAUACUCGCUUAGUGAGGCUUUUAAAACAUCAGCCUCAGAUCUCCCACUAGCCACACUGUUCAUCCUACGGUUAUAGAUGCAGUUGAAAGUGUUACAUUUCUUUUGCAGGUCUUUCCAUUUUGAGUUUACUUGGUGUCGUGUCUGAUCUGAACCUCCAAUCUGAACAUUAAAAUGCUCUAGAACCCGAUCCCAAAAUGCAUCAAAUUGUUGUUGGUUUCCACGCUGUUUAUCUUGAGAACAAUCGACAUAUGCCCUAGCUAAAGCCAACUCUUCACGUUCCACCCAUUUCUUUGACUUCUGAUGGUUUGUAAAGGUGCGUUUUUUCUCAACAACAGGUCGCAACUCCUCACUAGUUUCUUCUUCAUUUCUUUCGGGAACCGGAUCGUCACUAGAACUAUCAGAUUCUACGUUCUGAGAAUCACGGAACUGGAAAUGCUCGGUUGGGAAGAUUGGAAUUGAGUUUCUGGAACCCUUUGGGAAAACUGAUUACAUGGAUUAUAACUCAUAUUUUCCUCUGAAAGCGUAAAUGUGUUGUAAGAUUGUUGCACCGGGUAAUAUUGUUGUGGAUAGUUUUGGUUUUGUUGGUAAAUUUGGUAUUGUUGAUAGUUUGGAUUUGGGUUAUGAAAGGUUGGAGAAGAAAAUGGAAUAUUUUGACUUGAACCGUCUUGCGUGGAUUUGCGUCUUUAGUUAGAACCGGUUUGUUUACUUUUGCCUCGGGAAUCCAUUGAAGGUUACUAGAGAAAUUGAACCAACUUGUAAAAUAUUUCCAGACAAAUCACACUACAAAUAACACUACAAAUAAGUAAAUUUUGCAUUCAUCGUAAACUUAUAAAAAGAAAGCAAAAAAGUAGAUAAAUAAAUAAAAUAAAUACUCAUGGGUGGUUGGUGAAUAUUGUUCAAAAAUACUUACAUGCAAUAAAAGUAAAUUAAAGUUUGGCAGGAAUCUUUGCAUACAGUGAUUGAUUGCAUGCAUGCAUGAAUAGUCAAAGAAAAAUUGAAUGGUCAAGGAAAUUGAAUGCAUUAACUCACGGGUUGGUGAACCUUAUAGAAACAAACAACUCAUCCAACCCGCUAAACCCAAUUAAAAGGAAGUUGUUUGCCGGCGGUACCGGGAUACGCCCUGACCCAUUUCUAAAUUUUGAAACGACUCCUUAUGGCCUUAGGAACAAUGUCUUUUCUAUGAUUCUCAUUUUGACCACACAAUUUUGUUUUUUCUCAAUUUCACCCUGGCACUUAAAUACGUGACACGCAUCACUAUUAAACCGAUUAUCAUUCCCCUUUGCCUUCGUCUUUCCCUUAAUUUCUGAUUUCUUCUUCGUCUUUUCUUUGCUUCCAAGAACUUUGUGGUUUGUCGAUGCAGUGAUUUUUGAGGUUUCGCAACGACGCGGACGCACCCAACCAUCGGUUUCAAGCAAGUAUCUAUUUUAAUUUGGGAGUUGGGUAUGUUAUCUAUGUUCUGAACGUGGUCAUACCUGUUUUUUUAUGCUUAGAAGCAAUUCUCUGUUUCGAUUUUGGGUUAGUUGUUUUUUUUUUUUUCAAAUUUUGGUCUCGGGCUCCACCGUCAAUCACUUUGGGUUAGGGUUGGGUUUACUUUCACUAUUUAUGAAUUGUCUAAUUUUGGUCUCGGAUACGUAGUAUCACUGUUACAAAUUGGAUCAAUUGUUCAUCUUAGGAUAGCAAUCUUGAUACAGCUAUUCCUUCUAUAAAGGUGACGAUCCUUCUAUUUCAGAUUAGCACUUAAAAUCUGAAGGUAAGAUGUAGAGGUUAAGGUAUAGAAGAUGGGUGAAUUUCAGAGAUCUAUUGUUUGUAGAAUUGCUUCCUUAAGUAUCUGUUGUUUCGUUUCUUUCUUGUCUGUUGGUGUGUUCCAUAUUUUUGUUUAUUAUGAUGAUGUUUUUCUGUGCUUUGCAGGUUACAUAGUGCAUCUGUGUGGUUUUUGUUGUCAAUCUGCUUACUCUGGUAUGUCUCCUAUACCGUGUUUCUGCUGUUAAUGGUAUUUAUUGUGGUAAAUGUAAGCAAAAUGAAAUGAUUCAAAUCCAGUGAUGUUGUAAUUCAUACCCUCUCCUUUUUGGUUUGUCUGUGCAGGCUUUACUAACAUCCCAUGGUUUUGGUUACAAAUUGUAAAAAAAAAAAAAACAAAAAAAGUCCAUCAAUUGUUAAAGGUAGGAGUUGAGACUCCAUAAUUAAUGAACAAAGUUUGUUUCCUUCCACUUCCAAUAUGCACACAUUCAAUUAUAUUGUUAUCUUCUUUUAUUCAAAAUUACAUUUACAAAUGUGUUGUAUGAUUUCUUAGGUUUGCAUAUUGUUUAUAGGAGGGGACUCUAGGUCAUUUUGUAUUUAUAUGUUUACAGAAAGUUAUUUAGCUAAAAUAAUCUGAUGCAUGAGUGUGCUUUUUUUUUUUAACCAAUUAGCUUGCUUAUUGACAUAUUUUACUUGAGGGGUAUUUUUGUCAAUUACCAUUCUUUUACCGAAUUUGUUUGACUUUUGACCAACAGGGAAAGAAUGAAAGUUUUCUGUCUACUCAUGGAACUGAAACUCAAAGUUUAGCUACAUAAUAGGAACAUAUGUAAUUAUAAUGGAUCGUGUGUGUAUGCACGUCAAAAAUUAAAAAAAAAAAAAAAAGAUCCGUGGUUCACCACGGUUUCACUUACUAGUUCCAAUUAAAGCUUCAAACUUUUUUAGUUUUUCUUUUUCUUUUACAACAAUGUUACUUUUUGAAAUAUUAUUUUAUCAAGGCUUUUUUAUAUUGUUUUCACCUUUUUUUACUUUUCCAUGCAUUUUAUUUUCACAGUUUAACAAUUAUAGCAUUGUACUUCCAGUUUUCUUAUCAAAAGCGUAUUUCUCUUUACAGUUUUUAUUUUCUUUCCUUCUAUAACAUUGUUACUCUCAAAUAUUUUUCAUAUCAAGACAUUUUAAUAAAUAAUCUUUAUAUGUUUUACUUUUUUUUCAUUCUACUUUGAAAAAUUUACCAGUUAUAGCAUUAUACGACCAGUUUUCUUUUAUAAAAGCACAUUCGCUUUGAAAAAACAUACCAAUUAAAGUUUUACACAUUUGUCUGUUUGUUUUUUUCUUUUACAACAUUUUAAUUGUUAAAUAUUCUGUUAUCGAGACAUUUUAUUAAAAUAUCUUUUCAUUUUUUAUUUAUCUAGACAUUCUACUUUGAUAAAUCUACCAAAUAUAGCAUUAUACUUUAAUUAUUCAUAUUAAAAUCACAUUUCCUUAGAAAAAUCACCUCAACAAAGUUUUGCACAUUUUAUUAAAAAUCCUUAAAAUUUUUACAUCAGACAUUUUAUAUACUUAGAAAAUUUUACUAAUUAUAGCCUUGCACUUUUAGUUUUCUUAAUAAAUGCACAUUUUCUCUUUGAAAAUCAUCCCUACCAUAGCUUUCAAUUUUUUGGUUUUUAUUUCCUCUUUUAUAACAUUUUUAAUCUAAAAUAAUCUUUUAUCAAGACAUUUAAAAAAACAAUUGUUUUACAUAUCUAAGCCUUCUACUUUUAGCUAUUUACCAAUUAUAGCAUCGUAACUUAUUUUUGUUAUUAAAAGCACAUUUUCCUCUUCUCUAAUUAUAGCAUUGUACUUUAAGUUAUAUUAUGAAAAGCACAUUUCCAUUUGAAAAAUCAUCCUAAUUAAAACAUUGCACUUUUUAAGAUUUUUUUUUUUACUUUUACCACAUUUUAACUUUCAAAUGUUGUUAUAUUAAGACAUUUUAUUAAAAAAUCUUUACAUUUAUAUACUUAUCUAGGCAUUUUACUUUGAAAAUCUUACCAAUUAUAGCAUUAUACUUUAUGUUUUCUUAUUAAAUGCACAUUUUACUUUGAAAAAUCAUACAAGUUAAAGCUUUGCACUAUCUAGGCAUUUUUUUUGCUAUCAAUGCAUUUUAUUGUAUCAAGUCGCUUUAUUUUGAAAAAUCUAUCCAAUUUUUUUACUUUGAAAAAAUAAUAAUUCUUUUCUCAUCAAGGCAUGUUAUUUUGAACAAACCAUCAAAUUUUUAUGUAUCUAGAGAUUUUAUUUUGAAGAAUCUAGUUUUUUUUUCUUUCAAAGCAUUUACUUUGAAAAAUCUAUCAUUUUAUUUUAUAUCAAACCAUUUUACUUUGGAAAACCUACACAACUAUAGCAUUGUACUUUCAGUUUUCUUUAUAUAAGCACAUUUUCAAAAGUCAACCCAUUUAUAGCAUUGCAUUUUGCAGUUUUCUUUUUGUUCAACAUUAUUAUUUUCAUAUUUUAUUUUAAUAAGUCUAAUUGGUCUAUCGAAUUUUUUCUUAUCAAGACAUUUUUACUUUAUAAAAGUUUAACCUAUUUUUUUGCUCAUCAAAGCACUUUUUUUUUGAAUUAUCCAUCAAAAAAAUCAAGUUUCUUUUUUAUGCUAUGAUAUUAAAAUUUUCAAAUCUCCUAUUUUCAAAUCAAUUUACUUUGAAAGCUAUAUUAUUUUUUUUAAUAAAGGCAUUUUACUCUGAAAAAUCUACCAAGCACAUGUCUCUUUGAAAAAUCAACCCAUUUGCUUUAUUUUAGUUACAACAUUACAAACAUUAUUUUUUUUUUAUCUUAUCAGGUCAUUUUACUUUAAUCUAUCAUAUUUUUUUAUUAUCAAGGCAUUCAUCUUUGAAAAAUCUGACAAAUAUAGUAUUGUAUUUACAAUUUUCUUAUUAUAAGCACAUUUCCUCUUGAAAACUCAACCCAUGUAUAGCACUGCUUUUAUCUUUAUGUUACAACAUUAAAACAUUCAAAUUUUAUCUUAUCAAGUCAUUGUACUUUGAAAAAUCAAUCAUAUUUUUUUUUUUUCAAAUCUAGUCUUUUUACUUUGAAAAAUCUCUCAUUUAGAGCACUGUAUUUUCAUUUUUCUUAUUUUAAGCACAUUUUCCUUGAAAAAUCAACCCCAUUUUAGCAUUGCACUUUCAGUAUGUUUCUUUCUAUUAUAGUUUUCAAAAUUUUCUUAUCAAGGCAUUUAACAUUGAAAAAACAAUCAAAAUCUUUUCUUAUCAAGGCAUUUUACUUUAAAAAAUUCCAUCAAUUUUUUUCUUAUGGAGCCCUUUACCUUGAAAAAUCUAUGAAGUAUUACAUUACAUUGCAUUUUCAGUUGUAUUAUUAUAAGCAUAUUUACCUUUGAAAAAUCAACCCGUUUAUAGCAUUGCACUUUUCAAUUUUCUUUCUAUUAUUGCAUUGUAACUUUCAUGAUUUUUUCUUCAUGUUGCCUUGAAAAAUCUAUCAAUUUUUUUCUAAUAAAGGCAUGUUACUUGAAAAGUCUACCAUAUAUAGGACUACACUAUUCGGUUUUCUUUUUGUUACAACAUGGUAAAUGUCAAAAAAAGUUUACCUACCAAUUAUAACAUUGUUCUUUUAAUUUUCGUAUUAUAAGUUACGAUUUAAAAUUGUAAAAACCACUUGUAAAAUUCCAUUUUUCAGUUUUUUUUCUGCUUCAAAAUUGCAACUUCCAAAAAUUUCUUACCAAGGUCUUUUUUUUUUUUGAAAAAAGUAUCAAAUAUUUUCUUAUGAAAGAAACUUACUUUGAAAAUCAACCCAAUUUUUAGCAUUGUACUUUCAUUUUUGUUAUUAUCAGCACAUCUAUGUUUAUGACAAGUUUUGAAAUGUAUUCUAUUCAUUUCAUUUUAUUAUGUUAAUAUUAAUUAUAUUUAUUUCUUUUUACUAUUUUUUAUAUGAUUUCAUUGGUUUGUUAUUUUUGUAAGAAAUGUAAAAAGCUGUCGGUCCAAAACCAACACCGCAGGUUUAUCACUUUAUUUAAUUUAUUGGUUAAAUUACUGACUAUCAGUUUCUUUUAUUUUGUAAAUUGGUUACUUGUUUUGAUUGAUGUAUUUACCUGCUAUAUAUAAUUAUAUGAUGUGAUUUUAACUGUUGUUAUUUUAUGUUUUAUGCAUAAGUUUUGGCUCUUCUUGCAUUUUGAAUGUUACUGAAGUCAAUAUGUUUUAUAAGUUAAUUAUCUGAUUAUUAAGUUUUAUGUUCAUAAACUCUCUUGUGUCAAGGACAUUAAGUUAUGGUUUUCUUUGUUUUGAAGUAAGCUGUUUGCUUAUUUGAUCUCAGUUUGAGAAUUAUUUUGGUUACAAGUUUUGUUGGUCAUGUAUUAUUACCUACACUUACUUUUUUAUUAAGUAGUUGUGUUAUUUAUUGUUUACUUUUGUUUGUUUAAAUUUCUAGUAGGCACAUGAUUAUCUGUAGUAUGAAUUUAUUUUUAUGUUUUUUCUUCAUUUUAUACUGCUUUUAUAUUAAAAGCCGAUACAACUUUUUGUUGGUCAGACUUGACUUUUCACAACAAAAAAUUAUCCUGUUUACAUGUUUUAAUGUCUAAUCGUGUAAUUGUGGCUUUAUGUGUAGGAGGUUCUACUUUGUUUAUUUCUUGUGUGUUUGUUUGUAGGACCUGCUUCGGAAUUCAUGUAUUAGUUCAGUUUGUAGGCCUUUUCUUUUUCUUGUGUGGCUUUGUAUGUUGAUUUUGCUUUGUUUGUAGAGUUAUUGUGUGGCUUUGUUUAUAGGAUUCUAAUUUGGAAUUCAUGUGUAGGGUUUGGUUUAUAGGGUUCUGUUUUUGAAUUUGUGUUCCUUUUCUCGUGUAGCUUUGUUUGCAGAGUUCUUACAUGCCUUUGUUUUUACAGAUCUUCUAUAUUGUAUUUUAUCGUGUCUAUUUUGUUUGUAGGGUUCUACUAUGUUUGAUUUUGCUUUGCUUUGUUUAUAAGGUUCUAUUUUAUUUGUAGAGAGUUCUGGUGUGGCUUCGUUUGUAGGGUUCUACUUUGUUUGUAGGAUUCUGUUUUGAAAUUCAUGUCUUGGUUCUACUUUUGAAUCCUUUUCCCUUUUCUUGUGUGGCUUUAUUUGUAGGGUUGUGUUUUGUUUGUAGAGUUAUUAUGUGAGUUUUUUUAUAGGAUUUUUCUUUGGAGUUCUUGUCUCGGGUUAUGUUUGUAGGAAUCAACUUUGAUAUUCUUAUCCAUUUCAAUAUUCUUAUGUGGCUUUAUUUCUAGGGUUCUGAUUCUUUAUGUAGAGUUCUUAUUGGUUCUAUUUAGAUGGUUCACCUUUGUUUUUAGACUUCUUGUGUGGCUCUAUUUGUAGGAUUCUUGUCUUAGGUUCUCUUUGUUUCUUUGUAGGGUUAUGUUUCAAAAUUCUUCUCCAUUUUCUCUGUAGAGUUGUUCUUAUGAAUUCUUUGUAUCGGGUUCUAUUUGUGAAGCUUUGGAAUUCCUGUUAAUUUGUGUUUUCUUGUGUGAAAUUUAUAGGGUUAUUUUUUGUUUGUAGAGUACUUGUGUGGCUUUGUUUUAGGGUUCUACUUUCUUGUCUUUAAUUAUGUUUGUAGGGUUCUACUUUGGAAUUCUUAUUCAUUGCAUUUUCUUGUGUGGCUUAGCAGCUUUGUUUGUAGACUUCUUGUAUGACUUUCUUUGAUCUUUGAUUGUAGGGUUCUGCUUGUGAAUUCUUGUCUUGGGUUCUCUAUGUUGGGUUUUGCUUUAGAUUUCUUUAUCCAUUUUGUAUUUUCUUUGUAGGGUUUUUUGCUUUGUUUGUAUAAAUCUUAUGUGGCUUUGUUUCAAGAUUUCUUGUGUAACUUUGUUUGUAGAGUUCUUGUGUCUCUUUGAUUGUAAUCUUUGGAAUUCUUGGGUUAUGUUUGUAGGGUUUAUUAACAUUUAGUCUUCAACAAGGCUAUAACUUCAUGGUUGAAUUAGAUUUGAUCUAAUAACUUUAGGGUUGAAUAAUUUCUUGAAAAGUUUGGUCGUUAGGACCGAGUAACAAAUGGUGAGUCUAGAACUAAAAAAACACAUGGUUCACUAUUUAAGUAAAACCGAUAGAAAAUGAAAAAAAAAAAAAAAAAAUCUAAAAAUACUAGUUGUAUGUCCGGGUCGGAUCAUAUUAACUUGAUAGAAAAUGUAAAGAUAAAAAUAAGAAAGUGUUACUUUUGUUACUAUGCUCUUUUAAUUUCAAUCUCUCUAAUUCACAUAUGAUAAAUUUUCAUAUUUGGUCGUUAUGUCGGAUCAACAAGUAGUGAACUUCAACUAACUCUUAUAUGUUUAUGUAGAUCAUUAUCUUCUUCUACAUUCAUUUUUCAUUCAUUUAAAAAAAAAAACUUGAAUAAAGACAUUUCUAAUUCUAAUUUCUUAAACAAAUGGCAAUUAACAAAUCAACAAUUAACUAACACAAUUCUAAAACUUAGAAGUCAAUGUAAUUAAACAAGUCCAAAGAACCAAUUGCUAAAAUCAUUAGUGUGAACCGUGGAUCAAAGACUUGGAAUUUGAAAGUGAAUUUAAAUAAAGUAUUAAACAAAGACAAAAAAGAUGAAAAAUUAAUUUUUCAAAUUGUCAAAUACAUUAAGAAAAUAGCCCCUUUGAAUCAAAUAACAAAAUCGUCAACCUCGGUGAAUCCGUAAAAAAAUUCAAAUAAAAAAGAACAUUGGAAAUGUUUAAUUGAAUGUAACUAAAAAAGCUACAAAGACCUUAAACCAAAGACAAAAGUAGCACAAUUUUGAAUUGAGAAUUUUACAACUUGCUGGACUGGAGUGUAAGAUUGGUCGGUUGGUGGUGUCGUAGGAAGAAGGCGGGCAGAAGGCCGACGGGAGUCGGUUGGUUGAGGGCACUGAGAACAUUGAGGGCAAUGAUCACAUUAAUAGAGACCUUCGCAACCGUUUAAAUUUUUCAUAAUUCUUUUUUUCUUUUCUGUUUAAUUACAAAUUUUUAAUGGACAACUGUUUUUUGGCUUACAAAUUUUUGGGGAUCCAAUAAACAAUGCCACUUCCAAAACAUACUAACCUUCAUGUAUUGCUAUCCUUUUCUCUAAACAAAAUUAAUGGAAACAAAAGAAUCAAUUAACAGAAUUCUUCUGGUUUUGGUUUAGGAAACCUUCUAUAUCCAAACUUUGCAUCCACAAAACCUAAUUUUGUCGAACUCCAACCACAAUUUCUCCUUCCCUAAUCCUUUCCGCUCUCCAAAUCUCCUGCAAAAAUUUGUUUCUCUUCACACUUGCUUAUUUGUUAACACUAUUUUUUCCCUUCUUGAAACUUUUGUGGUUAGCAUUGAUUUUAUUCUAUGAUAUUAAUGUGUGCGUAAUCUUGGAUUUUGAAUAGAAUUACUCUGGUUUCAGCUAUCACACUUUGAUUUAGUGUGGAAAUCAAUCACCAAGUAUAACUGACGAUUUCAAUUUUGAAUUUGGGGUUUUAAUGUGUGCGUAAACUUAGAUUCUGAGAGAGCGUGUCAUAUUGUUGUGAUUUAGGGGGUGUUUGGCUUAACUUUUCACAGCCAAAAGUUCUUUUUGGAAAAGAAAAAAAAGCAAAAGAUGUUUGGCAAACUAGUUUUAAAAGUUACUUUUGAAGUUUUUACAUAAGAAAAGGAACUUUUUGGAAAAGUCAGGAAACUUUUUAUAACUUUUCCAAAAAUGACUUUUGGGGUUUGAAAAGCUAAGCCAAACACCCCCUUAGAAUUCAUUGCAGAAGAAGGCUUAUUAGGUAUACAUUUCUUCAUUUCCUUCUACUUGUCUUCUCUUUUUAGCAAUUAGGAUAGGAAAGGAUUGUAAAAGAAUGAUUCAAUAUUAAAAUUAAUAAAGGGUAGAUUUGAGAGAAUUUAAAAAAAAAAAAAAAAAAAAGUUUGUUGAAACGCUAGUCUAGUCUAAGUAGCUUUUUUAAAAAUCUAGCAUAAAAGUUCUAUCUUUUUGGCUUGCCAAACAUGACAGCCUAAAAAAACUUGAAAAAUAAGCUAACUGCGACAUGACAAACAUAGUCAUAGACUCGCUAUUCAUCUAUUGUUUAUGCAAAAGAUGUUAAUGUCAUUUCCAUUCUUAUCAUUGAAAAUAGACAUAGAAAGCUUGUGUAGUUGAGUCAUGUUCCUUGUAACAAGGGACAAUGUUUGGUAAUGAUAUUUGACUUGUAUACACCUUAACAGACCAUUAAGGUUUGCUCAUUUCUUCAUAUUGAUUUCUCCUUGUCGAUUAUGGAAAAUUUGCUUUUACAAGAAUGAGACAUCGUGCGAGUAAAGAAUAUGACCAUUACAAAGGGUACAUGUGUCAAAUUGUAACCACACACAUUCGACUUUCUCAACAUUUCCAACCCAAAAUCAAUGUAAGUCAACAAGACAUAUAUUAAAAGACCAAUGUAUUCUCAUUAUAUAUAAUGAGCAGAAUUAAAAAAAAUAAUAAUAAUAAAAUAAAAAAAAAAGAUUUUUCAAGUCAUUUACGUUGAACUUUUCAGUUUUCUUUUUAAUAUCAAAACAUUCCAAGUCCAUUUUCAUGUUACAUCAAGUGCUCCAGUAGUUCCAACGAGGGAGGAUUAGUUUUGUUUAUUGAAAGGAUUGUCGAAUGUAGAGUUGGCAUGUUAGCAGGUUUUGUCCCUAGACAUAUGUAGGUCGGAAAAUGUGGUCUCCCCACAAAUAAAUAAAUCCAUUGUUCUAUAAAACUGAACACUAUUCCUCUCCUCAAAUUUAAUAUAACAUGAUGACGGAUUAAUUGCUUUGAUAAAUCUAACAACAUGACGGAAUUAAUAAAAAUUAAAGGAAGAUUAUACCUGAAUGAUGCGUUGGAUUAUAUUGAUGAUGGAUUGUGUUGAAUGAUUAGAUGAUUAUAUGGAUAGUUUGGAUAGAACUCUGCUAUUCAAAAAUAGAACAACUAUUUCAACAGAGAAGACAAUUGAGAUCAACUCAAGUCUUAAACACUCAAACUUAGCUUGUUUAUUUCAUUUGGGCAAAGGCCCUAUUUAUAGGCUCAAGAGAGCCGGUUACAAUUACUGUUGCAAUCGUUUGAUUGCAAUAUGACACAUAUAUAUUUACAUUAUAGCCUCCUAGACUAUUGAGGGUUAUACACUUUAUGUUACAUCAACCUACACUUAAUAAUUAUUCUACCGACACUUAUUUAAUUACAUAACAAUCCUUCUACCGACACUUUACAUAAUGAAAAAUAUAAUAAUCCCUUUCAUGAAAGGACAGGUGUCUNAACUUCCGCGGGGACCGGGCAAUUUGUAGUUAAUAAUAGUUAGAAAUGUCAAAAAUAAAUGAAAGAUAAAUUGAAGAAGACAUUAUAGUCAUUUUACACAGUUUUGAAAAUCGGAUUAUUGAGUUCGCCUGGACUACGCUGGCUUUGGGAUGCCAGGCUUGAUGCUUCAAGAAAGUUCCAAACCAAUCUCUGGCACUUGGUAAAGAUUUGUGAUUUCCGGGUGAUGACAAGUAACUCGUGAAGGUCUAUAGUCAACUACGGCUAUUGAGCGUCGAGACCAAGAAUUUGAAGAAAGAUCUCUGCUUAGGCUUAAAAUCUCUCUACCUCUCAAAGUCACCACUCCGUCCAAGUGUGGAGGUCAGAAUCCCAUCCUAUCCACCCGGGCCGUCGUCACCACCUUCUUUUGUCCGAUCCUUCUCCUCUUGAAAGGAUGAAGCGGACACAUUUAUAAUAACAAAGAAUGAAGCAUGCAACUCAUUACUUAAUUAUAUCUAACAAUAAACAAAUCAUAUUUAUCUUAUUUGGUAGUAUUCGUCGAUCGUUCUUGUAUCUAUUUGUAUCCACA
rnacentral:lncRNA from 1 species